rnacentral:rRNA from 1 species
UACGGGGGAGCAAGCGUUGUUCGGAUUUACUGGGCGUAAAGGGCGCGUAGGCGGCCACCGCAAGUCGACUGUGAAAUCUCCGGGCUUAACCCCGGAAAGGUCAGCCGAUACUGCGGGCUAGAGUGCAGAAGGGGCAACUGGAAUUCUCGGUGUAGCGGUGAAAUGCGUAGAUAAUCGAGAGGAACACCUGCGGCGAAGGCGGGUUGCUGGGCUGACACUGACGCUGAUGCGCGAAAGCUAGGGGAGCGAACGGG